rnacentral:tRNA from 1 species
GGGGAUUUAGCUCAGUGGUAAAGCACCUGCCUAGCAAGCACAAGGCCCUGGGUUCGGUCCCCAGCUCCA